UACGUAGGCAGCGAGCGUUGUUCGGAGUUACUGGGCGUAAAGGGUGUGUAGGCGGUCCUGUAAGUUUGGUGUGAAAUCUCCCGGCUCAACUGGGAGGGUGCGCCGAAAACUGCAGGGCUAGAGUACGGGAUGGGAGAGUGGAAUUCCUGGUGUAGCGGUGAAAUGCGUAGAUAUCAGGAGGAACACCGGUGGUGUAGACGGCUCUCUGGACCGUUACUGACGCUGAAACACGAAAGCGUGGGUAGCAAACAGG
rnacentral:rRNA from 1 species